GGAGAAAUACCCAAGUGGCUGAAGGGGCUAGCUUGGAAAGCUGGUAGGUCAUUUUAUAUGAUGCAGGGGUUCGAAUCCCCUUUUCUCCG
rnacentral:tRNA from 1 species